CACCUUUUUUUCUUCACCAUUGGCGCCUAUAUUGAGGCCGUCGGCUGACGCCGACUAUGGCGAUAAAUGGCUGUCGCAAUAAACCCAUCGGACCCGGGGGCGGUACCCGGCGCCUCCACCAUAUGGGAUCGGGUUCCAGCUCAAGGCAUCGGGCCGGACCCUAUCUGAUGGGGGCGAAAUAGGAUCGACGAGGGUGUAAAGGGCACGCUUUUGCUCGGCAUGGUUCCGCCGUUAUCGGGCCAAACCUAUAGUUGCAAACGACAACUAUGCUCCGGUUGCCCAGGCUGCGUAACGCGGCUUAAGCACCGAAAUCGAAGUCCCAGGCGUUAGCCCGUCUGGGCGGGGCUCGGAGGGCGCCUGGCAACAGAAGCCCUCCACU
rnacentral:tmRNA from 1 species